rnacentral:pre_miRNA from 1 species
CCGCCAAUAUGGCAGUGAUAUGUUGUGAAGUUUGUCAUAUCACAGCCAUCUUGACGUGUC